CUGAGCACCUUGUAAGCCCAGAUUUCCAUCUUGCAGGUCUGGGCAGACUGCAGACUCGCUGUCCGAGGGAGCGCUGUCCAUCUGACCUGCCCUGACCACACUGUGCCCAGGGGUGCUUUGGAUCAGCACAGCAGACUUCUCCACUGAGGACUCACUGUGACCAAAUCCCCUGGAAUACACUAACGGGCCUUCUGCCCUGAGCGCAGGAAGUGGUCUACGCAGCAGCCUUCCGGAAGGCAGGAGGCCGCGUGCGGUUCAGGGCGGGUGAAGAGGUCUGAUUUCAGUGAGGAAGUUGGAACCAAGCGAGAGGCACAUGGCGACUUCCUGUGCCAUCUUCCGAACUUUCCUACCUAGACCCAGGGCACCCUCUG
rnacentral:lncRNA from 1 species